GAGUUUGAUCCUGGCUCAGGAUGAACGCUGGCGGCGUGCCUAAUACAUGCAAGUCGAGCGAACAGAUAAGGAGCUUGCUCCUUUGACGUUAGCGGCGGACGGGUGAGUAACACGUGGGUAACCUACCUAUAAGACUGGAAUAACUCCGGGAAACCGGGGCUAAUGCCGGAUAAUAUUUAGAACCGCAUGGUUCUAAAGUGAAAGAUGGUUUUACUAUCACUUAUAGAUGGACCCGCGCCGUAUUAGCUAGUUGGUGGGGUAAUGGCUUACCAAGGCAACGAUACGUAGCCGACCUGAGAGGGUGAUCGGCCACACUGGAACUGAGACACGGUCCAGACUCCUACGGGAGGCAGCAGUAGGGAAUCUUCCGCAAUGGGCGAAAGCCUGACGGAGCAACGCCGCGUGAGUGAUGAAGGUCUUCGGAUCGUAAAACUCUGUUAUUAGGGAAGAACAAAUGUGUAAGUAACUGUGCACGUCUUGACGGUACCUAAUCAGAAAGCCACGG
rnacentral:rRNA from 1 species